GAACAAAGAGCUAACUCUUCCUCCUGGAAGCCACAAGAAUUUGUAAGAACAGAGAUGAUGUGGGAAACCUUGUGCACUCUCUUCUGGGUGAUGUCAAGAGCAUUGCCAAACCUACCAUGUAAAAAGUACUCCAGAUAGUGAGGUGUGAAUGUGGCAGUCAGCUCCAUCACCAUUUCAAGCAUUCUCAGAUCAUUGGCUUUGCAGGAUAUUUCACUGAAGGAAUGAGAACAAAUCAACUACAAACUUGCAUGGAAAAAGCACACAAAUUUUAGAUGUCAAUCUCCAAUUACCAGUGGCUGAAAGGGCAAAGGACCCCACUCCAGUGCCACAGUCAAUAUUCCUCACAGUCUGGUCCCAUGUGCCGACGGGCUGGAGCACAGGAAUUGUCCUCCUGGAGUACCUUUCCGAUGUUGGUUUCACCCAAAAGUCUGAUGCCUGUGCUCUGACCUGCAGUGCAAGAA